ACCGACCCGCUUGGCGGCCGCCUGGCCCGGGCGUGCAGCGGCGCGCAGGGGGCGGGGACGGAGCCGCUUCUCCUGCCGGGUGAGGGAGCGGCGGCGGCGGGAGCUCGGCCGGAGGCGCGGCGGCGGUCUGCGCUGCAGGAGCAACAUGGUGCUGAGCGCGGAGCAGGUGAACCUCAUCGGGCAGGUGUUCGAGUCCUACGUGCUGGAGCACCACCGGGACGACAUCCUGGGCAUCCUGAGGGAGCCGGAUGAUGAGGCGCACUACCCUGUCGUCGUCGACGCCCUGACGCUCUUCGAGACCAACAUGGAAGUCGGGGAGUAUUUCAACGCCUUCCCCAGUGAGGUCCUCACGAUUUUCGACAGCGCGCUGCGCCGGGCUGCCCUGGCCGUGCUGCAGGCCGACACGGUCCCCACACAGCUCAGCGCCAAGCACAACCUCCAUGCCAGGGUCUCGGGUUUGCCUGUUUGCCCAGAGCUGACUCGAGAGCACAUUCCUAAAACCAGGGACGUGGGUCACUUUUUGUCUGUCACUGGGACGGUCAUACGCACCAGUUUGGUGAAAGUGUUGGAGUAUGAACGGAGUUACAUCUGCAAUAAGUGCAAGCACGUGUUUGUCGUCAAGGCUGACUUUGAACAGUACUACGCGUUCUGUCGUCCAUCAGCCUGUCUCAAUGAAGAAGGCUGCAACUCAACCAAGUUCACCUGUCUCUCUGGAACAACCUCUUCUACCUGCUGCAGAGACUAUCAAGAAAUCAAAAUUCAGGAACAGGUCCAAAGACUGUCUGUUGGGAGCAUCCCUCGUUGCAUGGUGGUUAUUCUGGAAGAUGACUUGGUGGACAGUUGCAAGUCUGGAGAUGACAUCACAGUGUAUGGAGUGGUAAUGCAGAGGUGGAAACCUUUCCGUGAGGAUGCACGCUGUGACUUGGAGCUUGUUUUGAAAGCAAACUACAUUAAAGUAAACAAUGAGCAGCUAGCGGGGGUUGUAAUUGAUGAAGAAGUCCGAAAGGAAUUUGAAGACUUCUGGGAAAAGCAUAGGAAUGAUCCCUUAGCAGGGAGGAAUGAAAUUUUGGCUAGCUUAUGUCCUCAAGUUUUCGGGUUGUACCUGGUGAAGUUGGCCGUAGCCAUGGUGCUUGCUGGUGGUGUGCAGAGGACUGAUGCUACUGGAACUCGAGUCAGAGGUGAAUCACAUCUUCUGUUGGUUGGAGACCCAGGUACGGGGAAAUCUCAGUUUCUCAAGUAUGCAGUGAAGAUUAUACCACGGUCUGUGCUUACUGCAGGAAUUGGAUCUACGAGUGCAGGUUUGACAGUGACUGCUGUGAAGGACUUUGGGGAGUGGAACUUGGAAGCUGGAGCACUGGUGCUUGCAGAUGGAGGCCUUUGUUGCAUUGACGAGUUCAAUAGUAUCAAAGAACAUGACAGAACAAGUAUCCAUGAAGCCAUGGAGCAACAAACCAUCAGUGUUGCAAAGGCAGGCUUGGUGUGCAAGCUUAAUACAAGGACAACUAUCCUGGCAGCAACAAACCCAAAAGGCCAUUAUGACCCUAAUGAGUCGAUCUCUGUCAACAUAGCUCUUGGUAGUCCCCUGUUGAGCAGAUUUGACCUGGUCUUAGUGUUGUUAGAUACAAAAAAUGAGGAAUGGGACCGCAUCAUUUCAUCCUUCAUCUUGCAAAAUAAAGGUUUCCCAAGCAAAUCAGAAAAGCUCUGGAGCAUGGAAAAGAUGAAAACCUACUUCUGCCUUAUAAAAAGUAUACAGCCAAAAUUAUCUGAUGAGAGCAACCUGAUCCUCAUGCGCUACUAUCAAAUGCAGCGUCAGAGUGACUGCAGAAAUGCUGCCCGAACUACAAUUCGCUUAUUAGAGAGUUUGGUACGCCUUGCAGAAGCUCAUGCCCGGUUGAUGUUUAGGGAUACUGUGACCGUGGAAGAUGCUGUAACUGUGGUAUCGGUGAUGGAAUCUUCCAUGCAGGUUGAUAUGAAUAUAUACAAAUUUAAACAAUUUUACAUAGCGCCCGUUAGCUCAAUGGACCUUAGAGACCUUUGCAGGAGGAGAUGUGCUCCUCUUGGAGAGAAAGCUCUUGAGGAUAAAUGCACAAAGUCACAUAUGGCAGGGGGGUGCACUUCUCGGAGGCAUCAAUGCCUUGCACACUUCAUUUCCAGAAGAUCCAAUGGCGCAGUACCGAACACAGUGUGAACUCAUAUUGGAGCAACUGGAGCUGCAAGAUCUUCUGCACAAAGAACUACAAAGACUUGACAGAUUACAAAAGAAGAAUUCCCACCAGCUGCAGCCUGAAGAAACAAGUUUCAGUACUACUACAGAGUGCUUGAACAAGGAUACAUUUGGGCAGUCAGAGCAAAUGUCUCAGCCAGAACCUUCAAACCAACCAGAGAGUAACACCAGGCCACAGGUUUCUUUGCCCGAAGGCAGCUGUGAAGGGAAUAUACAUCCAGAACCCUUAUGCAACCCGGCACGUGGUAAUAACCAAAAUACAAAAUGCUUGAUUAAACAUAGAAGGAGAGGUGAUGAUGACAGCCUGGCAUGGUUUGAUAGCCUGGAAGAGAGCAACACUGAUGCUGAAGAAGCUUUUCAGAAGUCUCCAGUGCCCGAGAUACCUUCGAGUAACUUGAUGUCAAAAACCCUGUGUGAGACAUCCUGUUCUGAAGAAACAAAUGCUUCUGGACCAAGGAGGGGAAAUGGAAUGAGAGAGUCACUAGCAACUGUGAAGCUACAUGCUCCUUUAGAACAAGACAAAGUUUCCAAGAUAGGCAGGAAAAGGGCUGAAGAACACACCUGUUUUUCUUCAGAAGCAAAUAUUCAAGACCCAGCAUCACCAAGCAGUAGUGUGCAGGAUUCAGUUAUUACACAACGUGUUUCUAAAAGCUGGCAGAGACUACACAGGGAAAAAUCACGUGGAUUCUUUACAAGUACACAAGACCCUGAAGCAAAGGCCCUUGCUUCAGUAUUACCUGUGUCUGGCCUGGCAGAUCUUUCAAGUGAUACAGAUUCUGUGCCAGGGGAGGAAAAGAACAACAUAGCUGUAGCAGCAAAAACUUCAACAACUUCCAUGAGAAAACGAAGCAAAGGUCGAGUAGUGAAGGAAACAAAGGUAGUAAGUUCCCAUGACCCAGAAAUCCUUGACAGUGAAAGUCCUCCAGCAGCUAAACUAGCUAAAUUUUCUUUCAGACCAAGGACAAAACUUGAUCAUUCUUCAGAAGAGAAAAAUGAGGAAUUUUCUCUUUUAUCGAGUGAAACUAUUUUUAAGCCUGGAGAGCAGCUCCAGGGAGAGCAGCUGCCAGAAGAAUGUUGCCCCCCUGAGAAACGCAAGAUGACAUUGACUCGCUUAGGAAACAGUAGUUUGGAAAAACAAUCAAUUGAUAAUAAAGGGAGAGAAGAGCAACAGAGUCAGGCCUUAGGGAAAGAGAUCAGAGGAGGUGCAACAGCACACUCUGAUGUCAGUUUUGAUGCCACAUCAUCUCCACCCACACAAAAGAAAAGGGAGGGAGAGGAGAAGCUUGGUAGCCCAAGCAAAGGGAAGGUGCGCUCCAGCACGUUAGCCAAGCUGUCAACAUUCGCAUUUGCAUCACGUCCUGAGUCAAAAUCAGAAACCUCACCUGCCAUUAAAACGGACACUAACAAGGAGAGCCGUGGCCCGUUGCUGAAGGUGCAUGUGAGCAAUCCUAGUGGAAGGAAGAGUUUUGCAUUGGGAAAUGCUGAUAAAGCCACUGUGGUCCCACAGAAAGCUCUGUUCUCGAUAGCAGAGCUAGAUGAUGCUACAUUAGAUUUUGACUGGGAUGAAGAGGUUAGGAAAAAUCCAACCACCUAACAUGUAUAUCUUCCAAAUGACUUCACAUACCGUUCUGAUUCUCCAUCCUUCUAUCAAUUGUACCGUAGUUUACAAAGCAUUUAAAAAAUAAUCACCCCGGACCUCUGUUGAUACCAAUGAACGUACUUUUGUUAUGGGCCAUAUACUUUACAUCAGCUAAGGACUGCAUAUACUGGCUUUUAGUGUUCUAAACUCUUCCCAAGACUGCUUAUAUUGGUUGACUGUUUUGAUUGACAUGACAUAACCUGAAGAGUUGUGUGGUUAUGCUUAUAUAUCCAGAGUACAGUGAAUCUUGCAAAAGAGCAUGUUUAAUUGACCAAUGUAAUUUAUUUUGUAUAAUGGUUAGAACUAUAUGUGAUUCAGAGGGUCCUUCCAAAUGCCUCUGUCACUUUAGAAAAAUGAUGAUGCUAAAACUAUGUCAUUAUAUUUUGUUUAUCUACAUAUACUGUUUGUCUCAGUGUAGUUAGCAAUAUUGUGAUUUAUCAUCAUGCUGUGGUAAGUAUUUCUGUAUUAUCACUAUCAUGACAAUUUUGCUGCAUCUCUGGUUACUGUGUUCCUUGUCACACUGCUGAUGUUGAACACAUAGAUCAAGGGAUUUUUCUUUCUGUUUUUGUUUUUGUUUGUUGUUUUUUUCAAAUUUCAUUUUUAAAUACACUGGUUCAGGUAUCUGUGUCUGUAUUCUAGGUCAUUUUAUCAAAACCCAACUCUGUAAUAAACAUACAGUUCUCCAUUGCAGAGAAAACAAA